UGAUCAAUUCGCGCUAUGGUAGCAUUUUUGGACAAGGCAGCAAAAAUCGACAGAACACCGGGUUUAAAAUCUUCAUCGUGUCCACGUCACCUGCUGUGCACUGUGAGUGCAUUGACGACUCAUCGGUGUCUCAUAAAUAUUAAUGAGACUGACUUUUCUUAUCCUAUGAGAAGACACGGUUUCUUAAUUAUUCAUGACACCACGUGGAUCUUUCCAACGACAGACAUGUCAAACUGUGAUGUAUAGAUGAGAGAGGCAAUCAUUGGACGCAAGUGUUUGUUUUCAUGGUGCAAAGUCCAAGUGGGUUGAAUAUAUUCCCCGCGAUGCUGCAGGGGUUAGACUCUGGCUCUGGAUGGCUGAUUUGCCAUCAACCACGGACACUUCUAAACAUGAUCUAAUCUAUAGUGUGUGCUGCGAACAUUUUCUCUAGAGAGAGAGAGAGCAGCGAGAAGUGGAGAAUGGUGGACUUCGCCUUGUUGACAAGUAAUCCAAGUAGCGUCUUGCGAGAGAUGUGGCGGUAUCCCGAGGACUUUUCUAUCCCUUCAGAGUGUUUUGAUUUCAGAUGGGGGAAACCAUGGCGACUGGAUCUCCCACAUACUGCCCGACAUAAAAGAAGGGAA